GAUGCUGGAAACAGUUUCGAGUCAUCAGAAAUUCAGAAUGGGUGGGCAAGAACGACUGAUCACACUAGGGCCUCGUCACAGGUCACAGUGAAGAAGAGCUAUGAUCGACGCAGAUACGCGGCUACCAUCAGCGCCUCGAAUCAAAUUGAUGGGGUCGAUUGGACCGGUGCUAGACGGAUAACGCAAAACAUUCGGUGGCUAUGGCGUGUGGUGCAGAUUGCGGAUGAGGGAUGCUGUCCAGGUCCCGGAAAGGAUGGCCGGACCUGUCGCACAGUUCACGACGUCGAGAUUACUUCUAGCUCCGCCGCAUUUUUCUUGGGCCGGCAGCGUAUCCAGGACCAGGAGCACAAAGCUGCUUGCCAGUUGCCGCCGCUGAUUGUUCUUCCACCCAGUGACGGCCAGUAGGAUUGCUUGUUCAUGGCAACUUGCAAGAAUUUCUUUCUUCUCUUGCGUGAUCCCCAUGUGGUAGCAUUGUUGUCCAGCCAAAAGUAAUUUGUUUCUUGCUUGACUCACUCGGAUCUGGCCAACAUCUGGGGUUGAGCUUGUCUAGGCACCGCUGCUCUUUUUUCCCCCCAGCGGUCAAGUGCCUUGUUUUGUGGAAAUCCUCAGCGCAGGAACGUGCGCCACCGCUGCUUUAUCCGUGGCCACAACUUGCAGGAAUAUCCGAUGUGCUAGAUGACAACAGGAGAAGGUGAAGUUUCUUCGCUUGUUCAUCAGACAAUUAAGGCUCGGAUUGCUGGAGUAGGAGGCCUGCUGAUCCGUGAUUCCGUGUAGAACCGCAAGCAAAUUGAUACAAAAUUGAGGCAGGAGAAGAUUUUAACCGGUAGCCUUGAAACGUUAACGGUGGAUGGAUUCUCCUUCUCAGUCGGUGCGACAGAUUCUCUGUAUUUCCACCCAACUGAAACGACACUGCACUUGCACUGGCUUGAGCUUACGGCGGAAGAUUGCAGCUGCUUUGUCCUCACAAAUCGGACACUGUCUCGCGUUAUCUUUUUGUCCGAUUCCUUACUCCAUUCUCGAGUAUGAGUCUUGUCUUUUCCUUUUCAUAUCCUACCCACCAGGGACGGUCAGGAAAAACCUUCUUAUUUCCUACUAACCACCACCAGGGACAAGUCAGAAGCUCGGAAUGCAGUGCAAGCAUCUCAUCGAUGGGUAGCCAGCAGAGCAGGGUGCUCGUCGCGAGCACCGGCGAAAGGUCAUGUGCGUGGCACAUGCUGUCGGUGCCACUCUCGGCUCAAGAUCCGAGCUCGUUUCAGUUCCUUGCGUGCGGUGUUCUCAAGUCUACUAUCAGUACGAUCUACCAUGCAAGGGUUUAAGAAGACUUGGAUCGGAGAGAUUGUUUACAGUUACCUUCCAGAGAUCCCGCUCCCAAUGUUCCUCCUCCUCGGUCGGUCGGCCCUCACAUGGCACGCAUCGUGCGCCCUCAGUUACCAUAAGACCUUGCCAGUCCCGAUCUGCUCGGAGAAUCUGAACCUAGUUAGACAUGUCUGUGCGAUUUGCAGCCUGAAGAUCAGAACCAAUAUUGGGGGCUUCAUCACCGCCCAUGGCUAUGCUGGAUUACAGGUGCUCAGGCAGCGCGUGGCCUCGUGCGCUCAUCUUUGCACAGGCUGCCUGUGGCUCGGCCGCUCACUUCGGAGUUCGGGUGCAGCUGCUACCUCCACGCAUGGCGUGACUGGCCGAGUAAUUAAGCAGGGGGGGCACGAGGCGCGCGUGCUGGAUGCAGCGAGGAGCUGAGCUGGAAGCUGGUGUCCCGGCACGAGGCCACCGGCGCCGCCGAGAUCGCGGCCGUGUGCCGCGCGCGAGGCCGGCCGAGGAUUACCGAGUUACCUACCGCAAGCGGGGGAUAGGCCCCCCGCACGCGCACAGGAAGCGCCUCCGUUUCGUCUGGCGAGCAGAGUGCACCCGCGUGGUGUCCGUCAGGAAGCGUAGCUUGGUGCAGCGUGUUGCCGCCGUGCGCGCGGCGCUCGCCGACAGCCGUUACGUUGCGGUUGCCCCGGCGCAUCAUCCAUGGAUCAUGGGCCGCGCGUCACGCCGUCACGGGCCAGGACCUCUCAACGGCACAAGUAGCGCGCUGGUAUUCUGUCAUCUGGCCAGCCCGGCGUGCUGUAAAAUCAUGCGGGCACCGUGUCCUAGUCGACGGCGGAGCCGUCGACGAGACGGAGGUCAUGGUCAGUCAGUUUGCGAACCAAGCUCGCCUGCGACGCCCGACCACGCACAAACAGCAAACGUGCUGCCAACUCAAUGAGAAGAUGAGACGCAAUGCACGACAAGGAUGUGGGUGGAAAAACACAGGCAAACCCAACAUGGUCUGAUGCGAACAAAUUCGUCAGAUCUAUUCAUGAUGUUUGGCACAGCUGAAGGGAGUUGAUAGCCUUCAUCUUCGUAAUCAAAUUAGGCAUUUUUACUCGCUGCAGGCAUUCAUGUACUACAUCUUUACAGGCAUAUAAUUUGCCAAUCAAUUUCAUUCUUCCUAUCUGCCUAGCAUUGCUUUUUGAAACACUAAAUUCAUCUCAAUCCCAAUGUAAGAGUGAAGAAUGCUAACUUGAUAUUUACAGUUGGUUUCUCAUGCAACCUCUGGUUUAAAUAGUAACAUAGGACCCUAAACUUCUAUUGCGAAACUACUGACAAUUGAUUGCAGCCUCAUCUCGUCUUCUUAACCAAACAUUUGAUUUAGACCCCCUUGAUGUUUUGCAUCUUCUCAAGUUUCCUUUUGUGUUCCUUACUGGGAAUAAGCAACGGAAAAGAGUUGCCAUGCUGAACUGCAGAGGUUAUUCUACCCCUUUCUGAGUAAACCAAAAAGGCUCCCUAAAAAAGGUAAACCAAAAAGGAAUGGAUCACAGAGCAUAGACUGUAAACU